rnacentral:rRNA from 1 species
GUAACAGGAACAGCUUGCUGCUUCGCUGACGAGUGGCGGACGGGUGAGUAAUGUCUGGGAAACUGCCUGAUGGAGGGGGAUAACUACUGGAAACGGUAGCUAAUACCGCAUAACGUCGCAAGACCAAAGAGGGGGACCUUCGGGCCUCUUGCCAUCGGAUGUGCCCAGAUGGGAUUAGCUAGUAGGUGGGGUAACGGCUCACCUAGGCGACGAUCCCUAGCUGGUCUGAGAGGAUGACCAGCCACACUGGAACUGAGACACGGUCCAGACUCCUACGGGAGGCAGCAGUGGGGAAUAUUGCACAAUGGGCGCAAGCCUGAUGCAGCCAUGCCGCGUGUAUGAAGAAGGCCUUCGGGUUGUAAAGUACUUUCAGCGGGGAGGAAGGGAGUAAAGUUAAUACCUUUGCUCAUUGACGUUACCCGCAGAAGAAGCACCGGCUAACUCCGUGCCAGCAGCCGCGGUAAUACGGAGGGUGCAAGCGUUAAUCGGAAUUACUGGGCGUAAAGCGCACGCAGGCGGUUUGUUAAGUCAGAUGUGAAAUCCCCGGGCUCAACCUGGGAACUGCAUCUGAUACUGGCAAGCUUGAGUCUCGUAGAGGGGGGUAGAAUUCCAGGUGUAGCGGUGAAAUGCGUAGAGAUCUGGAGGAAUACCGGUGGCGAAGGCGGCCCCCUGGACGAGACUGACGCUCA